AUGAGCUGUCGCAUUGAGUUCCUCUCCCGGUGGAACAUAAUCAAGGUCUUGUUCUUCCCCAGGUCAUCACACUUCAAGUCCCAGCAAGGGCACCUGUCCUGCCACCGACCAGUGGCCUCAUUCUGGGGAGGCCCCACAAAUAGGGAGGGAGAGACUGAUAGCCCCUCAGUUGCCAACCCUGAUGUCUGGAAGCUGCUCGAGACAGAAAUCACGGAAAGAAUACAAACGGAGGUCUGGGAAAAAGAAGAACAAGAUGAUCCAGGCACUCCUCAGAUGCUUGAAGCACACGGUAUCAUGUCUGGGCUGAAUUUCCGCUGGGGCCUACCCCUCCUGUCCUUGGGGCCUGCAGAUCUGAAAGCAUGUGAGGCUCAACCCUCGGUCCUUCCAUGGCCCCCUUUGCCCCCCGCAGCCACCUGUGAUUCUGGGGCCCCCUCGAAAGCUGAUUUUGCACACUUCAUUGGAAAACCUCUUGAGACUCCUCCGGGUGACAAAGUCUUAACUUUGACAACAAAAGCAUCAGUUCCCAGCCUGGCCCCUCCCCUCCCUGCUCCCUCACCUGUGUGUGAGGAAAAUCAGAAGGCCCUGGGAGGGACCCUACCUGGCGAUGGCAGUGGGCCCUCAGAAGCCUCUCUCUUUGGACAGAAGGGCCGGCCGCCUUCUCCAACCUUCCCAUUCAGCCUCUCAGAGAGAAAAGGGCAGAGUGGGACCUUCGUGGGGGCUGAGCAAGGCCAUCUAGAGCUGAGUUCAGGGUCCCCAGUGGCCAGGAAUGAGCCUCAGGAGGAGAGGAGGGGUGGAGCCUCACCAGAGCCCUGCCGUGGGGUGGCAACACUGGAGGGGGAGUCAGGGUCCCAGUCUUGGAGCCAGGUCGGGGUAAUAGGAGACACCCUCGGGACCAAACCCCUCAAGCCCCUGCCUGAAAAGGAAGAGGUUUUUCACGAAAGCCCUUUCAGAAAAAUGUUGAGAUGCCUCCUGCCCUGCCUGAGGCCCAACAAGGAGGAAGCACCAGAGGAUCCCCUUGCAAAGGCAAGCCGGAGUCAGCCACCACCCAGAGCCAGGCAAGGGUCACACACAGCUCGGCGUCGGAUGGCAGGGCUGUUCAGGCGCCAUCGACAGUGA
rnacentral:lncRNA from 1 species